rnacentral:rRNA from 1 species
UACGGGGGGGGCGAGCGUUGUUCGGAAUUACUGGGCGUAAAGGGUUUGUAGGUGGCCUGCUAAGUCAGACGUGAAAUCCCUCAGCUUAACUGGGGAACUGCGUCUGAUACUGGCGGGCUUGAGGACAGGAGAGGAACGCGGAAUUCCAGGUGUAGCGGUGAAAUGCGUAGAUAUCUGGAGGAACACCGGUGGCGAAGGCGGGUCUCUGGGCCGAUACUGACGCUGAGGAGCGAAAGCGUGGGGAGCAAACAGG